UACGUAGGGUGCAAGCGUUGUUCGGAAUUACUGGGCGUAAAGAGUGUGUAGGCGGUGCUCUAAGUUCGGUGUGAAAUCUCCUGCUUAACUGGGAGGGUGCGCCGGAAACUGGAGUGCUUGAGCGUGGGAGAGGAAAGCGGAAUUCCUGGUGUAGCGGUGAAAUGCGUAGAUAUCAGGAGGAACACCUGUGGUGUAGACGGCUUUCUGGACCAUUGCUGACGCUGAGACACGAAAGCGUGGGUAGCAAACAGG
rnacentral:rRNA from 1 species